rnacentral:lncRNA from 1 species
UGGAAAGCUAAUUUCUCUGAAAAAAUGCACAGACCUUAAGAGAAAUUUGCAGAGUCUUUCCUAGAAGUUACAUAAAACUCUGAAAUUGGAUCAGGCCAGUUGGGGAGUAUUAUGAUAGGCGCUAGAAUAGUGAAAUUCGACCAAAGUUUGGAAAAGAAAGGACUGAAGAGAAGCGGUCAUCUUCUUUCUCCCUUCUCCCUUCCUGUGGUUGAUUGCAAAAAUGGCUGCAAUACUUUGCAGCUCCUUCCAGCAAGAAGUGGAGUCUAUUUCCCCACCCCCAAGAUCAGUUGAUUCAAGCAAUAGGGAAACAAGUUAAAUGACACCAGGUGAAAGCAACCAGACAAACCCAGAAGGUGGACCAAUCUGUAGGACAACUGGACUGGUCUUUUUAAAAAGACACUAACAUAAAAGGCAGACUGUGCUAGCCUUUCAAGUAUAUGUCAGAAUACCCUAAGAGCCUUUGAGAGCCUGUGUUCCAGGUCAGGAGUCAGAGAUGGAGGUUACAGAGACAUGGAAGAACUCAG